GCGGCGGCGGCGCCCGAGAGGAGACGCCGGCGCCGCAGCAGAGAGUCGCUGCUGGCGGGGGGCAGCGAGGCGCGGGCGGCCGAGCGGUGCGGCGCGAUGCGGCGGUGCCGGGGCGCAGGACUGGCGGCGCUGGCCACGGUGCUCCUGGUGGCUGUGGGCAGGGCCCAGGUGCAACAGGAGCCGUCGGCAGAGACCACCGAGGGCACUGGCAUUAACAUCACCUGCUCACACCCCAAAAUAAAGACCAGCGAGUACAUCUCCUGGUACCAGCAGCUCCCAGGACGAGGUCCAACGUUCAUCACGAGCGCUUUCAAAGGGUCGAAAGAGGUGCGGGACCCGCCAGGGACCCUCAUGGUGUCCGAAGACCGCCGCUCCAGCGUCCUGCAUCUCGUCCGGCCCCGCUGGCGGGACGCGGCGGUGUAUUACUGCGCCGUGGGAGACCCGGCGGCACAGGUCAUGCACAAAAGGACUUUGUGCUGCAGUUCCCACCAGAAGCGACCAUCCAGGCAGGACACAACGUAAGACUGCACUGUAAUUUCUCCUCCAGCUUUUCCAAUCCCUACAUCUCCUGGUACCAGCAGCUCCCAGCGCAGCCCCCUAAGCUGUUGCUGCAAGUGGGAAAAUGGAAACCUCAGGCAGAGUCGGGAAGGUUCUCCUCUUCACUGUCUGUGGAGACCUCCCUCGUGCUUCUCCACGUGCAGAAAGCUGAGCUCCAAGACAGCGCUGCCUACCUCUGUGC